AAUUGGACCUAACUAAAGACUUUGUUUAUGACAUUGAUGCUAAAACACCAGAAAUUAAGGCUCAAAAUGUGGGGUUAGUCACAACCUUAACGGAGAAAGAUUUUCCUUUUAUUAAGGAUGUUGGGUUAAGUGUGAUUAGGGUUAAACUUGAACCUAAUGCUAUUAAGGCACCAUCAAACCUAAUUACCCCUGGGAUUCAGUUAAUUUACAUUGCUAGAGGAAGUGGAAAAAUUGAAAUUGUGGGAAUCAAUGGAAAACGUGUCUUGGAUGCUCAAGUUAAGGCUGGUCAUUUGAUUGUUGUGCCACAUUUUUUUGUGGUUGCUCAAAUUGCAGGUGAAGAAGAAGGAAUGGAGAGUUACUCUAUUGUGACAACUACCAAGUAAGUUAGAGUUUUAAAUGAGAAAUCAAAAUCACAAGUAACUCGACCAUUUUAAAUUGAAUUUAUUUAUCCAACGAAUUCAAUUUUUUAUUCAACUUAAACUCAUUUGAUUCGUAUAUUUUUUACAGACCUUUGUUUGAAGAGUUAGCCGGAAAGACAUCAGUAUGGGGAGCCUUGUCACCUAAUGUGCAACAAGUGUCUUUCAAUGUGGAUUCUGAGUUUAAUAAACUUUUCAUAUCUAAGGCCACAGAAACCACAAGUCUCAUUCUCCCUACCAUUUAGUUUGACUUGUUUAUAGUAUACCCCAAUAAUAUUCUUAUGUGUGGAAUAUUUCUUUUAUUGAAUAUGUGUGGAAUUUAUGUAAUAAGGUGUUUGAUUUUUUUAUUUUUUUUGUUAAUUAAUAAACCCUACCCAAAUGGUGGGUAGAGUUUGUAUGCCAUGAUGUUACAUCCAGGCACCACCAUUUAUAAAUUUUAAUUAUCGGAAAAAAAAAAAAGUUCUAUGAUAAGUAUAAAUAUUGAUUAAUGUGAAUUGUGAAACUACAUGGACAUCCAACCAUGAUAAGCUUAAUGUAUUUUGGUAAUACAUACGCAACAUGAUCUUAGUAUAUGUGAAUGUCGUGUCAAACAUGAGAUGUUGUAGAAGAGUUAUGAGCCUAGGGAAAGCUAUUGACUAAUCCAACUUAACUCUUAUCACUUGAACCCAAAGUCUGAAGGUGUUGUUAAAAAUAAUGAUAAUUAGAAAAUAAUGAUAAUUAGUUAGUAGUUUAGGUGAUUAGUUAAUUACUUGGUUGGUUAGUUAAGCUCCAAAUAUGUUUUGUUUUUAAGGGGUAUGCUCCAAGUAUGUUCUAUAAAUAGAAUAUUAAUGUAUUCAUUUUUAAAGUAUCUUUUAUCGAAAUUAGUCUCUGAGUUUGUUUGUUUUAUUUCUUCUUUAAAUAUCUAUAUAUAAAAAAGCAACCACAAAUCCCUCCAAAAUCUAAUUGAUGUGUCCUUCCUUAGUUUUACAUCGUCUGCUAAUCAAUUAAGAUGUAUGUCUUCAGACCUCUCAAUUGACAAUGAACAUUUCUUUUUAGACUCUUCAAUACCUCUAAGGUCUCUUAAAUAUGGUAGUUACGGGCUUUAGAGAUAUUAGAGAACGUAAGGAGAAACGUCCAUUGACAUAAAUCAAACCAUCAUGAGGAUUGUUUCAACCUAUUGACAUAAAUUUAUUUUUGGAUACUUGAAAGGAUUUCAUGUUACACACCACUUAUAUAUAAUUUUUUAAUAUUUGAAAAACACUCAAAUCUCUAACCCAACACCUCACACACAUUUCUUAAACAAGACCAACUAAACAUCUAUCAAUAGUUCUAUGUCUUUAUAUUUUAUUUUUUAAAAUAUUAAAGAGACGUAAGAUCCACUUAGAGAGAUGACUUAGUAAAACUCAUUUACUCUAUAAACCUCACUUGACUUUUCUAUCCAGUUAGGGUGUCUAUUAGGAAUAAAAGGCUGAUGAAGUUAAGCCUCCCUUUUAUUGAUGGUCUUAACCCAACAAACUUUAGGGUUCUGCUAUAUAACUAUUAUAUAAUUUCCUUUUUCAUAUCCUUAAUCAGUGCCUCGGAGGCAGCGGUUAGUAUUUCCCCAAACUUUAUUCACAUCAUUGCACUAUAAUGAGAAGAUAAAUUAAUUUUCUGUUCUAAUAAUAAAUUUGAAAAAAAAUUAAUAUAAAUAUAAAUUAUUCCAAAUUUAAUAUUACUCUCAAUUUUUUUAAUUUUAGCAAUAAAUAAAUAUAAAAGAAAAAUGUUAACGAGUGCUCCCGGGGUACUCUUUAAGCUAUCAAAAACAAGAAAUUAUUCUUUAAAAAAGUCAAAUAUUUCGAUUUCCAAAACAUUAAUUACAUGCAUUUUCAUAAUAUUCUUACUACUUAUGGUUCUUAAAGAGUUAACAAGACCCUAUAUAUUUAUAGAUGAAGAUUGUAAAAGUAUAGGAUAAAAGCACAUGUGAUGAAGCAUGAGUACGAUUGCACAAAAUAAAAAGGGUAUAUAUGGUGACAAUGGUGCAAUGUAAGAAUGAUCAUGAUUGAAAGGGAAAAUACAAAAGGGUAUAUAUGGUGUAUGUUGAAUGGGACAACUUCGGUGUCUCUAUUAUUGACGCUGUGUUGGACAAUGUUAGGAAGAAAACUAAGUCUGUAUUACUCAUUUGAUUUUCAACGGUUUUUAAGAUUUUGAUGACCUAAAACGAAACUAUAAUUUGGAUCCUAAUUAAUAAAUAGUAUUAAAAGUAAUUUUUUAUUACGUUGAGAAAUAAUCUAAUAAAAACAUUAGACUUUAUAUAAAAAAUAUUAAAUUUUUUAUUUAAUAUUCAAUUGAUCUAAUAGAGGUGGACCAAUUCAUUAUUGAGGGGAUGCAACUGUACACUUUAAAAUUUUUAAUUUUUCUUUUCAUUUUGAACCCCUCACAUUUUCAUUUUGCAUCAAUAAAUGUAUUUUUCACCGACGAAACCUAUCAUUUUUCACCUUGUUGUUGUUGACUGACAACUGACAUAUACAUGCAAUGGUACAAUGUUAACUGAAAAUUUUAUUUUUUGUUACAAUGUUAAUUGUAAUUUUUUGUUUACAAGGCGAAUGAGACAAACCAAACAAGAAAAGAAACGGAACAAAAGAAACAAAUUACUCCCUAAGGAAGAAAGUUCCAGAAGCAACGUUCCUUAGCAAAUUGAGAAGACCAUUUGGAGGGGAUGCAUGAAUUAACAAGUCAUGGUUCCCUUCUCUAAGGGUGUGAUAAAUAAAGACUUUGCUUUAAGAAAUAAGUUCUUUAAUGUACUGAAUUAAAACAAUAUAGAAAUGAUACUUCACAAAGGGGUCAUUGAUGAGGUUAAUGCAGAGAAGAUAAUCUGAGUAGUAUACAAACUCAUCAAUACCCAAGUCUUUGGCAGUGAUGAAAUCUUUGUAAAUUUCAGAAGUUCAGCGAACAUAAUAUAAAAAGAACAUGUAAGGUGAGUUGACAAAGCCGAUAAAAAGAAACCUAAAUUAUUUCAAAGGACGCCUCUAAAACCAGCCCUGGAUGAAGACCCAAGACAACUCUCAUCCACAUUUAGAAUGACACACUGAUGAUUACUAUUAUUCCACUUGAUUAAACAAUCAUCUGAAGCAACAUUAACAUUGUACGAGAAGCUAUACUUGAGGACUUCUACCGUAUUGAAUAUUGAAAAAGAGGCGGUUUAAGGACAUUGUUUUGCUAUUCAAGCACAUCAAAUUUCGGUGUCUCCAAGCCCAUCAAACACACGGUGAAAAGAUGAUUGAUUGUUGUUCCGGACUAGGCCGAGGCCCAAUCUCGGUUAAGACCCGACUCCAACUGAGAUUCAUUGCAGAGUGAAUCCAUAUUAUGGACAUGCACUAAAACCCACUAGAUCAUUGUCUAAACCUUUAACAUGGACUGUCCAGUUCAGAUCCAAUGUCGUGAUUAUUUCUAGAACACCAUUCAGGACACAUGUCCAAGUGAAGGCCUAACAGCCAAAAGCCCAUUUACCCACUAUAUAUACUAUUGCACAAUAUUGGAUCAUCUAUCUCCCUCUUUUCCCUAAUAUUUGAUUUCACUCUUUGAGCGUCAUAGCACGUGUAAGUACACCACCCUUCUUCGGUUGAGAAGGACUUACGACAGACUAUGACGGACCCAUGAUAGAUUACUCACUCUUCUUAGUAGCACUCAACAUAAUAAAUAUUAUUUAUAGGACUAAAAUAAAAUUAGUUAAAUAUUUUUUUUGUCCCUACAAAAUGAAGACCUUUUAAAUUUAAUUUUACUUAAUUUUAAUUGUUCUUUUAGUUCUUUCAAAAAAAUUCUACACAGUCUUAGUCCUUGAUAAAAUUAAAUAUGUUUAAUUACUCUUUAACGCAACUCUUAUGUUUUUAAACCAUUUUUUGCUAAAAUAUUUAAAUAUUAUAAAAAGUUUCUCCAUAAAAAUAAGUUCAAAUUUUAUUUCUAGGUCUAAAUUUUAGUUACUUUUUUCCUUGAAAAAAAUCAUAUUUAAUUAAUCUAAACUCUUAAAUUUUUUAAUAGGUUUUUAAAAGACAUGUUCAGAAAUUAUAAAUAGUAUAUUUAAUAAAAAAAAAAUUACGAAAUUUGGUAAAAGAGAGUGCCGUACCGUUUUGCUCAUCCGUGAAAUUUAGUAUGCACCGAAUUCGUACCAUUCAACAUUUCUCAAAAAAUUAAUACAUUGUUAAAUGACCAAAACUUUGCUUUUUUCCUGUUUUAUGUUUUGGUCCUGUUACAUACAAAACAAAACUAGGUAAUAUGGUCCUAUUACAGUAAAUUUCUUUUCAGACGCUACAGUGACCUAUCCUAUGUUGUGCAGGGACGCCACUCACUUGAUUGAAUUAUUGCUCUGUACGUUUGCAUUGAGGAAAAGAGUUUUCUUUUUCUUCUUUAACAAAAGAGUUAAGAGGACUAGCGUUCAAAGAAAACAAAGAACAAACUAAAACAUGAAUUUAACAUUUUUAAGCAUAUAAGCCUAUUUAAUAUUAUAAAAAAAAAAUUCUAAAUCUCGUUAGGAAAAGUUUUCAUAACAUGAAUGUUUCUUGAUUAUGUCGAAAUGAUAAAAUUAACAAGCUAACCAACACUCUGAUUUUCCUUCUAUAAAAUAUGUUAAAUGUCUAAUUUAAACAUGCCAACUCAAGAAUAACAUACAAUGAAUGCGACACAUCAAAGCAAGAGGAGCAGCCCUCUUAAUCAUGUUGUUAUGUCUCAUCUCAAAUCAUAUCUACAAGAAUCUUUGAAUCACUUUGUAAAACGAAAAGGGGUAUUGACACUCUCUUUUUAACAAUAUCUAUAACACUUACUCUUUUAUCGGAUAAAAUUCAUGUGGAUACAACACAUUUAAAAUGGAUCCCACAUAAAGUGAUAAUACACAUGGGUUCAUCCAAUAGAAAUUGAGUGUUAAAAGAGACAGCUAAAAACAGAGUGUUUCUAACAUUUUUCUUUACAACAAGAAAAACAAAUCUACAAUUAUUACCACAAGCUUUCCAAAUUACAUCAAUCGAAAAAAAUUUUGGCUUAAAUUCUAGCAUAUAUUUGUUUUUUUACUAAAGAAUAUUGUGUGUAUCAGGUAAAACCAAUAAUUUAUGAUUUGUUUGUUAUAAAUUAAAAUAAAAGUGAUUUUAUCAGUGAAUAAUUUAGAGAUUUAAAAGGAAAAUUAAGAUCUAUUUUGCGUUUGUUUAAAAAAGAAAUGUUACAAAAUUAACUCAAUCUUUCACACUUAUUUUCUCUCAUCUAGAAGAAUCUGGUUUUUAGAAGCUACUUCUAACAACUUCUAAUUCAAAGUUGUUUUUAUAUUAUAUCUUUUUAAAAAGUUGUAAAAUAGAUGCAAUACUCUUAAAAAUAAUUAUUAAAAAAAAAAAAAUUCCCUUCAAAAAGUUAUUUGAAAUGGACUCUUAAUUUAUAAUUUAUAAGCUCACAUGACAAAAAAAAAAAAAAAAAAACUUGUUUGAUAUUUCUAUUUUAUUAAAAAUUUAUAACUUAUUCCAAAGGUCGAUCCAAGAGUAAUGCCGCCAAUGCCCUCACUUUAGACCUAUCAACAAAAAGUUAAUGAUUAAGUGUUUUUUCACUAAGUAUAAACAAUGAAAUGAAGAUAAAUAUACAAUUUUAGCGAAUUAAAUUAACUUAAUAAUAAUAUAUAAAAGAUAUAUCAAAUUAAUAAAUUAAGUCACUAAUUUCUAAAUACUUUAGUAUUAUUUGAUAUACAUUUUAUUAUGAUUUAAGGAUAUUAUUUUAUGUUAUUUUAUAUUCAUCUUCUAAUUAAACCGCUAAUUUUACAACCCUUUAAUUAACUUAUCAAUUAUAACCUAUCCCCUAUUUUACAUCUCUCUUAUUUUCCAAGCCAAUCAUAAGCAAUCAACAACUUGGAACAGUAUCCUACUUCAUAUAUAUAUAUACCUCCCUCAGUCUUGAACUCAUGAACUGAGCUUGCGCGUUCACACUAUAUUUUUGAACUAAGGAACACUGAUAUUUAUAAAUUUUGAAAAGCUUUUUUAGGGGAGAAAAAAUUCAAUGGAGUUGGACCUAACACCUAAGGCAGCACAACCAUUGUUUGAAGGAGAUGGUGGUUGUUACUACAUUUGGUUAAGUUCUCAAGUUCCAGUUUUGGCUAAGACCAAUGUUGGUGCUGCCCAUCUUGUGCUUCACCCAGGAGGCUUAGCUCUUCCCCAUUAUGGAGAUUGUUCCAAAGUUGGUUACGUCGUAGAAGGUAAUAUUAGAGAAAUCUUAAACUAUUAAGUUUUGGCUUAAAUAUGUAUUUCCUUUCAAUUAAGGGUCGUUUAAAAAUUGGUCUAUGUAAUCGCUAAUCCUGACAAUUUACCCUUGCAUUGUUUAAUCAUUUAAAAUUUCGUCCCUCUCCCCACUUAAUCACUGCCACGUCACUAAUUUGAUGACGUGACAAUCACUGUCAUACAUGAAAUUUCAAUUUUACCCUUGAGCUUCCAAUUCUCUCUUCAAUAUUUUGUCCUCUUCUUAAAGGCAAAAUUGGAAUUUCACGUGUGAUAGUGAUUGCCACGUCAUCAAAUUAGUGACGUGGCAGUGAUUAAGUUGGUCAAAGGACGAAAUUUUAAAUGAUUAAUGAUUGCAAGGCUAGUUUGCAAGGAUUAGCAAAUACAUAGACCAAUUUUUAAACGAUAUCUAAUUGCAACGAUGAAAUACAUAUUUAAGCCUUAAGUUUUUUAUAAUGAAUGUGUUUAGUUAUUUAUUCAAAUGUCCUCAAAUGCAUGCAGGGACUAAUGGUGUAGUUGGAAUGAUACUCCCCAGCACCGGAAAAGAAGUAGUUUUGAAGCUUAAGCAAGGAGACAUUGUACCAGUACCCAUUGGAGCUGUUUCAUGGUGGUUCAAUGAUGGUGACUCAGACUUUAAAAUUAUAUAUCUUGGGGAAACUUCAAAUGCUCUUGUUCCAGGGGAAUUCACAUAUUUUAUCCUAGGUGGUGUUCUAGGACUUUUAGGAAGUUUUUCUAGUGAAUUAAUAAGCAAAGUAUACAAUUUUAAUAAAGAUGAGGUGACCAAGCUAACACAAAGCCAAACUGGGGUUACAAUAAUCAAGUUAGAAAAAGGCCAACCUAUGCCUAAGCCACAAAUGGACCUAACUAAAGACCUUGUUUAUGACAUUGAUGCUAAAGCCCCAGAAAUUAAGGAAAAAAAUGUGGGAUUAGUCACAAGCUUAACGGAGAAAGAUUUUCCUUUUAUUAAGGAUGUUGGGUUAAGUGUGAUUAGGGUUAAACUUGAACCUAAUGCUAUUAAGGCACCUUCAAACCUAAUUACCCCUGGGAUUCAGCUAAUUUACAUUGCUAGAGGAAGUGGAAAAAUUGAAAUUGUGGGAAUCAAUGGAAAACGUGUCUUGGAUUCUCAAGUUAAGC
rnacentral:lncRNA from 1 species